GAUGAACGCUGGUGGCGUGCCUAAUACAUGCAAGUCGAGCGAACAGACGAGGAGCUUGCUCCUCUGACGUUAGCGGCGGACGGGUGAGUAACACGUGAUAACCUACCUAUAAGACUGGGAUAACUUCGGGAAACCGGAGCUAAUACCGGAUAAUAUAUUGAACCGCAUGGUUCAAUUGUGAAAGACGGUUUUGCUGGCACUUAUAGAUGGAUCCGCGCCGCAUUAGCUAGUUGGUAAGGUAACGGCUUACCAAGGCAACGAUGCGUAGCCGACCUGAGAGGGUGAUCGGCCACACUGGAACUGAGACACGGUCCAGACUCCUACGGGAGGCAGCAGUAGGGAAUCUUCCGCAAUGGGCGAAAGCCUGACGGAGCAACGCCGCGUGAGUGAUGAAGGUCUUCGGAUCGUAAAACUCUGUUAUUAGGGAAGAACAAAUGUGUAAGUAACUAUGCACGUCUUGACGGUACCUAAUCAGAAAGCCACGGCUAACUACGUG
rnacentral:rRNA from 1 species